GCAGGCAACCACGGUAGGGUCAGCGACUGGGGUGAAGUCGUAACAAGGUAGCCGUAGGGGAACCUGUGGCUGGAUCACCUCCUUUCUAAGGAUGAUCAAGAAUUGGAACUCCCUCCUUACGGAGAGUGUUUUCCUUUUUGAUCUCAUUAGACAUAAAGGUUUAAAGCAAUUUAAACCUUGUGCAUAUGACACUCACUUUAAAAGAUAGUUCUCAUUUUAAAAGAGGCCCCUACCUCUGAAAGAGUGAAGGCGCCCUUUAAGGUGCAGUGCUCAUGUGUUUAAGAUACAUAAACAGGCUAGCCGUCUUCGUUUCUCUUUCUUCAGAUGAUGAUCCCAAGCCUUCUGGCGAUCUAGACAAAACAAGUCACCGUGGGCUUUGAAAAACGCUUUCCUUGAUAAAAUUUAAGCGUUUUAUAAGAGGAUGCCGGGGAAGGUUUUCCGGUUUAUCCCGGAGGGCUUGUAGCUCAGUUGGUUAGAGCGCGCGCUUGAUAAGCGUGAGGUCGGAGGUUCAAGUCCUCCCAGGCCCACCAGUUUAUCCAUUACUUUCAUAAGUGCUUUUAAAAAAUAAGUACUUCUAAAAAGAUUGCUUCUAAAAAGAUUGCUUCUAAAAAGAUUGCUUCUAAAAAGCUUAUCAAAAUUGGCAGGCUUAUUGCUUUUGUGUGAGUAAUCCAAAGUUAAAGCAAAUUAAUGGCAAAAAAACAGUUCAAAUGCUAAAUACUAAGGAGUCAAAAUUCCUUGCAAAGUGAUUUUUACAGCGUCCAUUUGGUUGAUAUAAAUUCCAAAUGCUCAUAGACGUCAAUGCCUAUAUGAAACUAUCGGUUCAAUCAUAUCGCUUUGAGUUAUAUAGAUUUUGUAAUCCCUCUUUUGAUCGUUUUAAACGCUUUAUCCUGAUUUAGGGGCCGUAGCUCAGCUGGGAGAGCACCUGCUUUGCAAGCAGGGGGUCGUCGGUUCGAUCCCGUCCGGCUCCACCAUAAGGUCAUCAUCAUUGUUGUAAGAACAGUUUUGUAAAAGGUUUGCGGACCUUUUGCUUGUUCUAUUGAAAUUGUGAAGAGAAGAUAUAUUCAGACAUGUUCCUUUUGAAAGGUUUGUUCUGGAAGGUGAGGUUUUUCUGUGCAGAAAUGUUUCAGAAAAAGCUUUGUCAUCAGAAAGGGCUAUUGUCUAACAGCUUAGAUAAAAAACAAAUCUGAAAAAGAAAUCUUGUGUCGCAAGGGAAAGCUCAAAGCCCUUGCUUAUGAUUGGAAGCUUAACCGCGCCAUUGAAUAUAUCUCGAGAAGCUGGUCUUUUCUGCUGAUAUUUAUGUUUGUUUUGCACUUUGUUUUGCACAAGGCAGAGAACGCGACAGACAGUGAAUGAAUAUUGGCAAUGAGAACGAUCAAGUGUCU
rnacentral:misc_RNA from 1 species